CCUACGGGGGGCAGCAGUGGGGAAUAUUGGACAAUGGGGGGAACCCUGAUCCAGCGACGCCGCGUGAGUGAAGAAGUAUUUCGGUAUGUAAAGCUCUAUCAGUAGGGAAGAAAGAAAUGACGGUACCUGACUAAGAAGCCUCGGCUAACUACGUGCCAGCAGCCGCGGUAAUACGGAGGGGGCAAGCGUUAUCCGGAUUUACUGGGUGUAAAGGGAGCGUAGACGGCGAUGCAAGUCUGAAGUGAAAGGCGGGGGCCCAACCCCUGGACUGCUUUGGAAACUGGAUGGCUGGAGUGCAGGAGAGGUAAGUGGAAUUCCUGGUGUAGCGGUGAAAUGCGUAGAUAUUAGGAGGAACACCAGUGGCGAAGGCGGCUUACUGGACUGUAACUGACGUUGAGGCUCGAAAGCGUGGGGAGCAAACAGGAUUAGAUACCCUUGUAGUC
rnacentral:rRNA from 1 species